UGCUCCUUUUCCCCUUCUGGAUUUCUGUUGAAACGCACCGCCCAUACACAGGAAAUCUAACUCCCAAACUUGCCUUUUCUCUUUUCCCUCCCCCAGCCGUCCGUUAGGGAGGACCCGAGCGCGGGCACAGGGACCGAGAGAUCUGGAGGAAACGGGCAGAGGCUGGGGGCCGCGUUGACAAAGGCCGGCAAAGGGCCCGAGCGGCCUCCGGUGCGCGCAGGCCUGUGUUGUGUCAGAUGCUUUGGUCUCCCAAAAGGCCAGGAUUCCCUGGGGGACUCGGACCCACGUGGCGAUGGGCACCUCGGGCGUGUGUGUUGCGUGUGAUGCCUCCGCUCCACACAAAAUGGUGGUGUGACUGCGAACCCGCCGGCGUGGACUUGUAGGAAGGAGAACAAAGUACAACAGUACUCUCAAGAAGAAGAAUCCACAUUCAAAGUCCAGAAAGCAACAGGACAAAGUUACUAUCCGGAAAGCCACCCAAACAGACCAAUGAGCCGAACCUCUGCUCCCCGGCGUUGCCGGACUCCGGGCAGCACCCGAUGUGGACCCAUCGCGUUUCCUUCUGGCUCGCGGUAUGAUCCGGUGUACUCGUGUUGUGC